rnacentral:rRNA from 1 species
GAUGAACGCUGGCGGCGUGCCUAAUACAUGCAAGUCGAGCGAACAGACGAGGAGCUUGCUCCUCUGACGUUAGCGGCGGACGGGUGAGUAACACGUGGAUAACCUACCUAUAAGACUGGGAAAACUUCGGGAAACCGGAGCUAAUACCGGAUAAUAAAUUGAACCGCAUGGUUCAAUAGUGAAAGACGGUUUUGCUGUCACUUAUAGAUGGAUCCGCGCCGCAUUAGCUAGUUGGUAAGGUAACGGCUUACCAAGGCAACGAUGCGUAGCCGACCUGAGAGGGUGAUCGGCCACACUGGAACUGAGACACGGUCCAGACUCCUACGGGAGGCAGCAGUAGGGAAUCUUCCGCAAUGGGCGAAAGCCUGACGGAGCAACGCCGCGUGAGUGAUGAAGGUCUUCGGAUCGUAAAACUCUGUUAUUAGGGAAGAACAAAUGUGUAAGUAACUAUGCACGUCUUGACGGUACCUAAUCAGAAAGCCACGGCUAACUACGUG